rnacentral:rRNA from 1 species
ACGGAGGGUGCGAGCGUUGUCCGGAAUCAUUGGGCGUAAAGCGCGCGCAGGCGGUCCUUUAAGUCUGAUGUGAAAGCCCACGGCUCAACCGUGGAGGGUCAUUGGAAACUGGGGGACUUGGGUGCAGAAGAGGAAAGUGGAAUUCCACGUGUAGCGGUGAAAUGCGUAGAGAUGUGGAGGAACAUCCGUGGCGAAGGCGACUACCUGGACCAGCACUGACACUGAGGCACGAAAGCGUGGGGAGCAAACAGGA